CCGUUAAUGGGUGAUGGCGUGCCUUUUGUAGAAUGAACCGGCGAGUUACGAUUUGAUGCAAGGUUAAGCAGUAAAUGUGGAGCCGUAGCGAAAGCGAGUCUGAAUAGGGCGUUUAGUAUUUGGUCGUAGACCCGAAACCAGGUGAUCUACCCUUGGUCAGGUUGAAGUUCAGGUAACACUGAAUGGAGGACCGAACCGACUUACGUUGAAAAGUGAGCGGAUGAACUGAGGGUAGCGGAGAAAUUCCAAUCGAACCUGGAGAUAGCUGGUUCUCUCCGAAAUAGCUUUAGGGCUAGCCUCAAGUGAUGAUUAUUGGAGGUAGAGCACUGUUUGGACGAGGGGCCCCUCUCGGGUUACCGAAUUCAGACAAACUCCGAAUGCCAAUUAAUUUAACUUGGGAGUCAGAACAUGGGUGAUAAGGUCCGUGUUCGAAAGGGAAACAGCCCAGACCACCAGCUAAGGUCCCAAAAUAUAUGUUAAGUGGAAAAGGAUGUGGCGUUGCCCAGACAACUAGGAUGUUGGCUUAGAAGCAGCCAUCAUUUAAAGAGUGCGUAAUAGCUCACUAGUCGAGUGACACUGCGCCGAAAAUGUACCGGGGCUAAACAUAUUACCGAAGCUGUGGAUUGUCCUUUGGACAAUGGUAGGAGAGCGUUCUAAGGGCGUUGAAGCAUGAUCGUAAGGACAUGUGGAGCGCUUAGAAGUGAGAAUGCCGGUGUGAGUAGCGAAAGACGGGUGAGAAUCCCGUCCACCGAUUGACUAAGGUUUCCAGAGGAAGGCUCGUCCGCUCUGGGUUAGUCGGGUCCUAAGCUGAGGCCGACAGGCGUAGGCGAUGGAUAACAGGUUGAUAUUCCUGUACCACCUAUA
rnacentral:rRNA from 1 species